UUGAAAAGAUCGUGAAAAUAGGUUUGCAAUCUCUCGUUGAUGUUCUUCUCCUUCAUUAAAAUACAUCUAUCCCUACCUUUAUAAACUUCACAACUUUUAGAUCAUGUCUUUUUCUUUCCCUAGCUUUGACAAUUUUGAUCAUAUUAUCAUGCUCCCUAAGUCUCCAUACUCCAUUACAUCUCCUCAUAGGUUAUCUACUUUGCUUUAGAUGAUGCCUUCUUUGCCUCCCAUUUGCCAACUUCUCUCAUUCAAUCCCACUCGUUCCUCCUCAUCAGGGCUUAACUCUGGACAAGCUGUGGAAACUACCAAGUUGGAGUACGGUAGGGGCAAAGGGAAUUUCCGGUGGAGCCGUGAAAUGCGUAGAGAUCGGAAAGAACACCAACCGCGAAAGCACUCUGCUGGGCCGACAUUGACACUGAGGGACGAAAGCUAGAGGAGUGAAUGGGAUUAGAUGCCCUAGUAGUCCUAGCCGUAAACGAUGGUACUAGGCGUUGUGCGUAUCGACCCGUACAUUGUUGUAGCUAACGUGUUAAGUAUCCCGCCU
rnacentral:lncRNA from 1 species